rfam:Triticum aestivum genome assembly, contig: Triticum_aestivum_CS42_TGACv1_scaffold_159317_2DL
CUAGUACUCCCUCUGUCCGAAAAAGCUUGUCCCUCAGAUAGAUGUAUCUAGUACUAACUUGGUGCUAGAUACAUCCAUUUGAGGGACAGGCUUUUUCGGACGGAGAUAGUAUUUG